GGUCAGGAUGAACGCUAGCUACAGGCUUAACACAUGCAAGUCGAGGGGCAUCAUGGAGUUUGCUUGCAAACUCUGAUGGCGACCGGCGCACGGGUGAGUAACGCGUAUCCAACCUUCCCUAUAGUAGAGGAUAGCCCGGCGAAAGUCGGAUUAAUACUCUAUGUUUUCCGUUGCAGACAUCUAAGAUGGAACAAAGGCUUGCCGCUAUAGGAUGGGGAUGCGUCUGAUUAGGUAGUCGGCGGGUAACGGCCCACCGAGCCUUCGAUCAGUAGGGGUUCUGAGAGGAAGGUCCCCCACAUUGGAACUGAGACACGGUCCAAACUCCUACGGGAGGCAGCAGUGAGGAAUAUUGGUCAAUGGGCGCGAGCCUGAACCAGCCAAGUAGCCGUGCAGGAUGACGGCCCUAUGGGUUGUAAACUGCUUUUAUGCGGGGAUAAAGUUCACUACGUGUAGUGUUUUGUAGGUACCGCAUGAAUAAGGACCGGCUAAUUCCGUGCCAGCCGCCGC
rnacentral:rRNA from 1 species